rnacentral:lncRNA from 1 species
UCCUCCCCAUCUCGUUGCAUUUUCUUUUUAUUCCUUUCUUCUCCCCAAAGCCACAGCGCCCAAAAAGAAAAAAAACCAAAGCAAUCCCUUAUUAAAAGUGUCUGUUUCUGCCAUCAAAAACAUUUUUUCACUAUGAUUUGAUUUAAUUUUGAGCUUUUCGUUUUUCAAUUUCUGAUGAGAAGGCCUGAAUUCAUGGAUUUCCGAGGUUUGUAUAAAUAAUCACUUGCAUGUUUACUUUUUGCUGUUAAGUGGAGUCAAAAUAAUCAAUUGAAAUUUAUGGCUUAAAUCAUAAAACAUGCUGCUUCAAUUUUAAUUCCCCUUCUAAAAUUCAAUUUCAACAAUGGUGUCAGGAAAGAUGCUACUAAUGGUACAAGAAUCUCAUAAUUGUCAUCUGAUUUUCUUUAUUUUACUUUACUUUUCAAAGUCUUUAUGAGAUGUUUUAAAUUAUGGUGGUUAAGCAUUGUACUUUCUGUAGUAUUUUGCUAAACAGGUUGUAGACAAAGGGACUACUUGAAUUUUGAGAAGUGAUACUAAAAGUGAAAAGAAGAGUAGUAUACUGCUGCUUCAAUUUUAGUUCCCCUUCUAAAAUUCUAUUUCAACAAUGGUGUCAGGAAAGGUGCUACUACUGGUACAAGAAUCUCAUAAUUUUUAUCUGGUUUUCUUUAUUUUACUUUACUUUUCCAAUUCUUUAUGAGAUGUUUUAAAUUAUGAUGGUUAAGCAUUGUACUUUCUGUAGUAUUUUGCUAAACAGGUUGUAGACAAAGGGACUACUUGAAUUUUGGGAAGUGAUACUAAAAGUGAAAAGAAGAUGAGUGUACUGAAGGUUGUGGAGAGACUCAUCGGUAACAGUGAUACAAAUUGGGAUAACAAGAACUGAAUGAAAAUUGUAACCAAAUGUGGAUUUGGUUAUGUAUUUGCAGGAGAAGAGGAAAGGGUGGUGAUGUUCCGUGAUAGUGGGUAGAAGAUUGAGAAAUGGAAUAGUCGAAGAGAAAGGACUGUUUGGAAUUUUAUUUUUUGGAGAAAAGGGUAUGCAUUUGGAAUUUUUAUAAAAAAAACAUACUAUAUUUUAUAAUGAAUAAUAAUGUGGAAUUAAUUUAGCUGAGGUGGAUAUGAUGUGUCUUUCAUGUCAAGCAAGGGAGGAGCAGAGGUGUUUAAAAUUUAUAUUUUGAUCGAGUUUUAGUAUCCGGUUGAAACUUUAUAGAUAGUAGGGACCGGGAUGACAAAUUCAAACUAGUACAAGUGUCUUUCAGGCUAUUCUGCCUAUAUAUUUUGCACAAUGAUAGUAUAUUGUAUAUAAAUUAUAUAGUGAUAGUCUAUGUUGUAUAUCUUUUAUGUAGUGACAGUUUAUUUUGUAUAUUUUUUGUAUUCCGAUCACUUUUAUCUAUCCAACCUGUAUAGACUGUUGUAUGAUG